ACGAACCAAUUCCUCAGCGAUGUUGGUGGAAGCAAACUGCUCCUUGCUGGACUCUGGAAACACAAGAUGUGCAUCAACGGGCUUUAAAGACACCGCUCCAGACUGCGGAGCCAAACCUGUCAGAACACAAAACAGCCCAUCUACACCUGUAGCGACAGUCGUGCUAGAGCAAAAGAGGCGGGAAAGGACUGAAGCUUCUUUCCUACCAGCCAAGUCACAGAAGACGCUGCUAGGACAAAGGUAGAUAUUAAUGUAAGAUUCCCUGAGAGUUAAAGGUAGAAAAGCAAGUAAACAUGGCAGAGAGAGAAGGAGAGAGAUCACGUAACGAAUGUUCAGAUUCAGUUCAAGCUGUGUGCAGGAAGAAGAGCAUCUGAGGGUUAGAUAGGAGGAGUUAACAGUGGUUCUUUGGGGGGGGAUGGUCAUUACCAUUAUCAUUGCUAUAGUUCAUCAGCAUGCCACAAAAGACAGUCAAGAGCUUCUCAUUUUCCGGCUCAGUAUUUUGGUAGAGGGAUUUAAUGUGUUCAGCUACUAUCUGAGCCCCUCCUGCCAGGUGAACUGCACUCCUGCCCUCAUCUGAAAAACAAAGAGGCCAGGACACAAAUCAACCACAAAGGAAAACUGAAUCAAGCAGAACCUGAAAAAAGAGAAAAGAAAUCAAUCUUCAAAAAAUAAAUGAACACAAAUGAUAUACAGUCACAUUCUAAGCAAAACAAAGAACACAAUUAAACUGGUACUAAUAUCAACCAUAUUAAAGAACCUGGAGAUGGGUUGAUCUUAAUAAAACAAGUGUUCUACGUUACGCAUGCCCAGAUUUCUUUGUUGCAGCCAAGAGACAGAACAUUCAAAACACAAUUAAAAAAAUCAAAAUGAAAGAAAUGCAAAAAAAAAAAAAAAAAAAAAAAAA